GGCCGGAGCGGGGGAUUGUGGGAAGCGCGGGGAUGCGCGGGCUCCACAACUUGAGACCUGCGUGCUACGAACGCCAUUUGGCCGCGGAGUGCGAAGAGAAUGCUUUGUUGCGGACCCCCGUAGGACCUGGACCCCUCUGCUUCAGCAGGGUCGCAGGCGGCCCGGAGCAUGCGGAAUGGCAUUCAAGGCACCCCCUCCCCAGUCUAAAAAUAAACCCAUCCCGGGAGGCGACCCUUCCCAAAUGAGGCAGCUGCAAUUUGGAAACGCUGAAUAUUUAACUACAAAGAAAAGCUCAUCUGCUUGGCUGGCCUCCAGCAGAGUGUGGUAGCAGCAGGCAGGAGCCUGGCAGUGUGGGAGGAGACCUGACAGGAAACAGGGAAGAAUUUCCAGGUAUUGGUUCACCUCCACACUGGCUGGACAUGCAGAUACCUGCUACUAACAGGAGUCAGUCAUCUUAUGCAUUAAGCAACUUAACACGUUGCUGUCCCUAACUCCAACUUACUGGAUUUUAACAAUAACCGAGCAUCAAGAAGGGAUAUUUACCAAUAACUUGGAGGACCCAUAACUUCACUGUCUUCUUGCCGCUGCAACCUGCUGCCACGAAUCAUUUCCACCUGCUACAGAUCCCUUGCCACAGCACUCCAGUCCCGAUUUUCCCUCGGGCCUCUAGAUACCAUCACAGCAGCAUCAUCCUAUUAGCACAUAUUUUCUGAAUGCUUAAUUACCAGGCAUCUAUACAGAUCUUUAUCUGCACUAAGAAUUCAGGAAGAGCAGGACCCACUGUAUCUUUGGUUGCCAAAAGCAGGAACCUAUGAGUCUUCUCUCCAUGUAAUCACAGGGACCCAACAUUAAGUCUCCAGUCUCCUUUCUUUUGACUCCUAAUUUUAAAUUCCUAGAAGACAAACAUGAUUGAUCCAGCUUGGGUCACAUGUCUUGGAUCAUUCAUCUUGGGCUAAGCAGCAGUUCAUGCAGGAAUAAACAUAACUACUAGGAGCCUUGCCUAUAAAUGGGGCUUGUCCCCAGAAGAGAGAAGAAAAUGGAGCCCACAUACAAAGGGAAGCAAAUAAACCCAUGAGAGAUGGAGGGAGAACCCUCAGAGUCUUUUAGCUCUUACUAUGGUUUAGAUCUAAAAUGUCCCCC
rnacentral:lncRNA from 1 species